rnacentral:rRNA from 1 species
GUGCCAGAGCCGCGGUAAUACGGAGGGUGCGAGCGUUAAUCGGAAUUACUGGGCGUAAAGCGCAUGCAGGUGGUUUGUUAAGUCAGAUGUGAGAGCCCGGGGCUCAACCUCGGAAUUGCAUUUGAAACUGGCAGUCUAGAGUACUGUAGAGGGGGGUAGAAUUUCAGGUGUAGCGGUGAAAUGCGUAGAGAUCUGAAGGAAUACCGGUGGCGAAGGCGGCCCCCUGGACAGAUACUGACACUCAGAUGCGAAAGCGUGGGGAGCAAACAGGAUUAGAAACCCGUGUAUCC